rnacentral:rRNA from 1 species
GACAGAGGGGGCAAGCGUUGCUCGGAAUCACUGGGCGUAAAGGGCGCGUAGGCGGUUUGGCAAGUCAGUCGUGAAAUCCCUCGGCUCAACCGAGAAACGUCGGCUGAUACUGCCGUUCUUGAGGGAUGCAGAGGAGACUGGAAUUCCCGGUGUAGCGGUGAAAUGUGUAGAGAUCGGGAGGAACACCAGUGGCGAAGGCGGGUCUCUGGGCCGCUCCUGACGCUGAGGCGCGAAAGCGUGGGGAGCAAACGGG